rnacentral:rRNA from 1 species
CCUACGGGAGGCAGGAGUGGGGAAUAUUGCACAAUGGGGGAAACCCUGAUGCAGCCAUGCCGCGUGUGUGAAGAAGGCCUUCGGGUUGUAAAGCACUUUCAGUUGUGAGGAAAAGUUAGUAGUUAAUACCUGCUAGCCGUGACGUUAAUAACAGAAGAAGCACCGGCUAACUCCGUGCCAGCAGCCGCGGUAAUACGGAGGGUGCGAGCGUUAAUCGGAAUUACUGGGCGUAAAGCGCACGCAGGCGGUUUGUUAAGCUAGAUGUGAAAGCCCCGGGCUCAACCUGGGAGGGUCAUUUAGAACUGGCAGACUAGAGUCUUGGAGAGGGGAGUGGAAUUCCAGGUGUAGCGGUGAAAUGCGUAGAUAUCUGGAGGAACAUCAGUGGCGAAGGCGACUCCCUGGCCAAAGACUGACGCUCAUGUGCGAAAGUGUGGGUAGCGAACAGGAUUAGAUACCCUGGUAGUCCACACCGUAAACGCUGUCUACUAGCUGUGUGUGUCUUUAAGACGUGCGUAGCGAAGCUAACGCGCUAAGUAGACCGCCUGGGGAGUACGGCCGCAAGGUUAAAACUCAAAUGAAUUGACGG